rnacentral:rRNA from 1 species
UACGGAGGAUGCGAGCGUUAUCCGGAUUUAUUGGGUUUAAAGGGUGCGUAGGCGGACUCUUAAGUCAGCGGUGAAAGUUUGCGGCUCAACUGUAAAAUUGCCGUUGAAACUGGGAGCCUUGAGUGUAGAUGAAGUAGGCGGAAUUCGUGGUGUAGCGGUGAAAUGCAUAGAUAUCACGAGGAACUCCAAUUGCGAAGGCAGCUUACUAAACUACAACUGACGCUGAAGCACGAAAGCGUGGGUAUCAAACAGG